UUGGAGGUUGUGCCCUUGAGGCGUGGCUUCCGGAGCUAACGCGUUAAGUCGACCGCCUGGGGAGUACGGCCGCAAGGUUAAAACUCAAAUGAAUUGACGGGGGCCCGCACAAGCGGUGGAGCAUGUGGUUUAAUUCGAUGCAACGCGAAGAACCUUACCUGGCCUUGACAUCCACGGAAUUCGGCAGAGAUGCCUUAGUGCCUUCGGGAACCGUGAGACAGGUGCUGCAUGGCUGUCGUCAGCUCGUGUUGUGAAAUGUUGGGUUAAGUCCCGCAACGAGCGCAACCCUUAUCCUUUGUUGCCAGCGAGUAAUGUCGGGAACUCAAAGGAGACUGCCGGUGACAAACCGGAGGAAGGUGGGGAUGACGUCAAGUCAUCAUGGCCCUUACGGCCAGGGCUACACACGUGCUACAAUGGCGCAUACAAAGAGAAGCGAACUCGCGAGAGCAAGCGGACCUCACAAAGUGCGUCGUAGUCCGGAUCGGAGUCUGCAACUCGACUCCGUGAAGUCGGAAUCGCUAGUAAUCGUAGAUCAGAAUGCUACGGUGAAUACGUUCCCGGGCCUUGCACUCACCGCCCGUC
rnacentral:rRNA from 1 species